ACCCUAGCUCUAGUAGCUCCAUGGGAUCAGACUGAAUAGUCAUCUGGAAGAACCAGAAAAAGAUACUGUAAGAGACAAGCUCAAAUUAUUAUCAAGGAAAGGAAGUCAAGGGGUAAAACCAGAAGGGACAGUAUAUUAUACAUUGGGUCCUAGGGUAGAGUUUGGAGCAGUAGACAGGAAAUGAAGCAAGAAAUCAAGAGAUCAGUAAUAGGUCUCCCAGCCUGGUGCAAGAAUACUACAAUAUAUAUUUUAAAAAUGUUUAGCAUGUAGUUGUGAAUAAAGCAAGGGUGUCAGGAGUUUCUUUUAUUGGAGCUGGGAGGAUGGUGGCAUUUAAAAGCUCAGGAUCAUUUCAGAUACAUGUGUCCUUUUGCAUCACACCCCUCCUUCCUUUUGGAAUCCUUCCUUCUUCCUUUACCUACCUAAAUCCUUUCUAUUUUCUGUGGAUCAGCUCACAUCCUAUGUCUUGUGUAACCAUUGAUGUAAUAUUUAAUUGUUCCUGAGAACCAGUGGGCAAAAAUCUAUUUCCUAAUAAAAAUGCCAGGUUGUUGUAGUAUGUUCGUUUUAGGGGUAGUUUUUGCCAUUUUUAUGUGUCCUAAAGCAUUUUGUUCCCUUUUCCCUAGAACUUUCAGGGAGUUUUUCUCUUCUCUCACUUUUUAAAAAAUUCAAUUUUCAGGAAAUAAUUACUGAAGAUUUUUAGUAGAUUAUACUUAAUGUAUCAUACACUUAUUGCUUAUAAACACCUUAAAGUUAAUAAUCAUGUUUAACAUAUUGCUUUAUAUACUUUUAAUAAUAAUACUAUCUAUUAUUUAUGAAGUACCUAUUGUAUUCCAGAUAUUUCACCUUUAUUACUUCUAAUUUUCAUAAAACUCUUCCAUAUAUGCAUGUCACCCCCAUUUUGGGUUUAGAAAGAUUAAUUUGCUCAAAGAUUGAACCAGUAAAGGUUGGGGUUGAGAUCAGAACUCAGAUUUGAGUUCUUUCUACUACCCCAGGCUGUCUGGGAAUAUUUGUUGAUUUGAUGAAUCUGAAUUGUUGAUUAUUUAGUUUAUAUUCUCCAUCUCCUAGAGCUUCUAUGACCAUCUCUAGAGUCAGCCUACACAGGAGCCAAUGAGAGAAAGUGAGAGAGAGUGAGAGAGAAAGAGAGAGAGAGAUUUUGUGUCUCCCCAUUUCAGAUGAGAAAAAUUUCAGUUUCUUUCCUGUUCAUUGAUUUUCUGUCUUCUUUUAUUCCCUCACUAUUCUUUGUCCUUUUACUUGUCCAUAAACAUUCAUUUAUUUAAAAAGAAGAAUUUUCUCAGAGUUCCCAUUGUGGCUCAGUGGGUUAAGGACCUGAUGUUGUUUCUUUGAGGAUGUAGGUUCAAUACCUAGCCUCACUCAAUGAGUUAAGGAUGUGGCCUUGCCCCAAAGUGCAGCAUGGGUCAUGGAUGCACCUCAGAUCUGGUGUUGCCAUGACUGCGGUGUAGGCCUCAGCUACAGCUGCCACACAGCCCAUAGCCCAGGAACUUCCAUAUGCUGCAGGUAUGGCUGUAAAAAUAAAAAAUAAAUAUAUAAGGAGUUUUCUUAUAUUUCAACCCUUCUUCCCAUCUCCCUGAUGGAAUUUUCCAUCAGUAGAUGCCUGAUUAGUCCAUACUUAGGAUUUUCCAAAGGCUCUUUAUGUCACUGGCUAAAUUCCAAAAAGUUAAUUUUGUUCAGCAGGGGCUGCUAAUUUGUAUGGCUUUCCUAGGGGGAAAAACAUACAUAUAGUUUCUUAGAGGAGAAAACCAAUAGGUUCCCCUGCAAAUUUAUUCUUGGAGGCAACCAAGCUAAUUUUCUAAACCAAAUAGAUAAGCUCUGUGAGUCUCUUGAUUUGUUCAGAUCUGGUCCUGAGUCUUAAAGCCCUACUUGCUGUGCUCCAACACUGAGUGCCAAAACCUUCUGUGUGCCCCAGGUAGCUCUGUCCCUUCUCAUGGCUGCUGUCAUGUGCUCAUACAUUUUUGACUCAGCAUAGAUGUGGUGGUGGAGAGAAGCUGUUGAAAACAGGUUUGGGGACAUAGUCCAGAGACAUCUAAAUUAUGUAUUGAGUUCUCAGUGUGUACUAUAUGCUAUAUGUAUGUGUAUAUGUGUGCUAUAUGCUAUAUGCUAUAUAUAUGUGUAUAUAUGCAUAUAUAUAUAUUAAUAGCGGCAAUAAGAUGUGCCCAAUGCUAUAUUAUUCAAGGCAUAUACCAUGUGCUGGGGAGCCCAGAGACCCAAGGAAAUCUCCACAGAGACCCAUUUGAAGGGGGACCUUAAUGGCAGAUGAGGGGCUGCCAGCUAGGGAAGGUGGAUGGACAUUCUAGGUAAAAUGAACAGCUAGUACCUUAGCACAAACCAGGGAAAGAAAGGAAAAACAAAGAAAGCUUGUGAAGUGAGUGACAUCUGUCCACUUUGGAGUAUUUCUCAAGUAUGAUAGUCAAUGCUUGCUCCGUGCCAAGUCCUUAAAUUGUGCUAUUUCUUUGAAUCUUCACAAUCAAUCUAUGAGGUUAGUUCUGUUAUUUUUCCUACUACUACUUUUUUUUUUUUUUUUAAAUAACUGUGCUUACAGCAUAUGGAAGUUUCCAGGCCAGGGAUUGAAUCCAAGCCACAGCUGCGACCUACCCCACAACUUCAGCUAUGCCAGAUCCUUGAUCCUAUGGUGCAGGGCCAGGGAUCAUAUCAAAACCAUGCCUCCAAAGUGACCUGAGCCACUGCAGUCAGAUUCUCAACCCACUGUGCCACAGUGGGAACUCCUAUUUUUCCUAUUUUACAUUCUGUGAAAGUUCACACUUUCAUUACACUGUUAAUGAGUAGUAGAAUCACAUCAUCUGACCCCAGAGUCUAUGUGAUCAAAGCCGUGUUAUUCUUCUACCAGGUCCUUCCAAACAUUUUUUAAAGAACUAGAAAUAACUAUUAGUGGGGUUCCUUUUGUGGAUCACUGUGUCCUUCACUAAUCAGAAACCCUAAUACUUUAACAGCACUUCACAAAAUCUCCUGGGGAGAAAAAAAAAGCAGGGGGGUCAAACCCAAAAGGAAAAGGGAACCCUUAAAGGUAGAGGGAGAGGACUGAAACAAAUGCAAUCCUGGCUUUAGUUGCAGGUUUGAAUAGAGUGUUGGGACAGGAAGUGAUAGAGGUCACCAUCCUUAGUUAAAACUAGAAGGGCAGUGAGUGCCAAAGAACAUAGAAUGCAAGAUUCAGACAAAAAUGUGCUUCAUUCAGUGGGAUUAAUAUGACAACUUUUACAAAAGGAAGAUAAAAUAUCCUACUAGGAUCCAGGUGAUUAGCGUUUUGUCAUGUCCAACUUAUGUCACAGUCAGCUGCCUUUAGGAACCUCCUGUGUUCUUGGUUUUAUUAUUCAUGGAGGUGCUGCAUACAUAGACCCAAGGCAACAAGCACAUGUUGGAGCCCCAGAUUCCAAGAGCUUUGGGGAGCAGAUUUGUGAGAAAAGUGUAGAAAGGAAGUGAGUAGGAGGAUGUUUAUUUUUAAUAAAGAGACCCUGCCCUAACUUCCUGAACUCAAACCAGUCUAGACUUGUUUUUUUCCAUUUUGCACAAUGUUCGCAACAACAGAAUAAAUUUAUUAAAACCAAACAAACCGGGGGUUGAGUUUUGGCAUGGACUAUCAGACAGAAAUAGAAUCAGCUGCUUUUGAGUUGAGUCUAGUAAUUGAUUUACAGACCAGUGGUAGAUUAAGGCUGCGUUGGCCUGAAUUGAACCCAAGUUAUUUUCAUUAUGAGGAGACAAUGGGAAGGCAAAAUGUUUGGCCUGGUGCCCAGCACAUGCACUCGCCAGUCCAUCAGUUCUGCCCUCCUUUGCCUUCAAUUUUCAAAACUCAAAAUAUUAAAGAACCCUUAUGGCCAUUUUUCCUCAUCACUUUAUUUUGUGUGGCAGGACCUGGGACUCUGAGAAGUAAGACGUCUUCUUUCCUUCUUAGCAUUGGAUCAGAACAGUGUAUCACUAAGUGCCCAAACAGUACCUAUAAAGGGGAAGUUUCAGCUUGGGUUCUUCUGGAUUGAGAAAUAAAUGUGGGAACAAUUCGAUUUGCACCCAGUUGAACAUAAGUUCUUAGAAUCAGCUCUUUAUCAAUUGAUAGGCUCUGUGUUUGGGGAUUUUUCAGUUUUCUCCUUUUUUUCUUUCUUAGUCAUCUGAGGCUGCCUUUUAUGGUGCAUCUGGACAAGGGUGCAUGUGUGUUUGUGGAGGGCUAGAAUUUCUGAGUACAGGCCAAAGUCAAUGUGUAUUUUUACAUCUCAGAAUGCUUUCCAUUCCUCAUCUCAUUUUAUCCUGACUAUAUACUUAUGAGGAGAUAGAAAGUUACUCUUAACUUCAUUUUACAUGUAGGGAAAAUGAGAUCCAGUGAUGUUCCCAAGACGAAGUGCUGAAUGUAAUGGCCAAGUCCAGAUUCCUACCCAAAUAGUCCCUCUGACUUCAGUUUUCCUAACAGCAGGCCCCUCUCCCACCAUGCCCUCCCAUUCAUAUGAACUAGAGAAACUGUCUAAUAAAGGAAUGCUAGAAGGUAUUUGUGUGCUCCUGUGAUCAUUUUCACAAAAGAGGCUUCUGGUUACCUUGUUCUGUGUGUUGGGCUAACUUUUGAAGAGCAUUUGAAAUCCUAAAAGUCUCUUCUUUUUUGGACUCCAUUGUUUUAAAAUUUAACUCCAGGUCUAGUCUAAAGAGACAGAGUCUUUCACAGACAUCUUUGUGUCUCUUUUUUUGGCCAUGCUCAUGGCAUGUUGAAGUUCCUGGGCCAGGGACGGAACUCCUGCCANACAUUGGCCCAAGCUGCUGCAGUGACAAUGCCAGAUCCUUAACUGAUGGCACCGCAAGGGAACUCCAAGACUAGAAGUCCUAAAUAAACAAAACCUUUGAUAGUUUUUUAAGUGCCGAGCAAAGGAAUCACUGAUGAAAGGCAUAGCAGCUUGGAGAAGUGACUUUUUCCUUAAAGAGAUUUCCUGUUCCCUUGGAGUUUCUUCCCUUUUAAACAACGGUGACCACUUCACUCAGAUCUUAGAGGCUCAAUCUCUCUAUAGAAAAAAUAAUAAAACCUUUUGUCUUGAUGGGUUUUUGAGUAUCUGUUUACGUAUGUGUGCGUUCCUCACAGGAACAUGGUGGAGAAUUUGUAGAGGUGCAUUAGAAAUGAAUGUUGGCUUCACAGAUGAAGGUUACUGUGGUUUGGGUUCUAUUCUGUUUUUUGGUGACUAAGAGCUACAACUAUGAUAUGGUCUGUUUGAAAUGCAUCCCUUUUAAGAUCCCGCUUGAUGGUUAUCACAGCUCUCCUCAUUCAUUCCUCACUUAUCUAGCAGUAAAGUCCUUUAAAGUUUCUUCUCAAAAAUUUCUCUCUCUUCUUGGAACUUGAGAACACUGUGUUUAAGACCAGACAUUUUGAGAACUAUAUGAAAAUUGUGUUUUGUGACUUGGGCUUUUCAGAAAUGGCUUGUGUUAGGGUACUGACUAGGAUCACACGGGUUAGAGAAUGGUGACUUUCUUCCUGAAGAAACCCUUGAAUAUUCUGUAAUUUAGCAAUUUGGAAAAUGAGACGGUGGAAGGAGAAAUAGAGGGUCAUAAGCUGAUGGCAAUUCUAAAACUGUAACCAUUAGUAAAUUGCCAUUUUAACACUUGGUCUGGCUUCCAUAAUUAUAUUCAGCCUUAACCUCAAUGACUGCCAUUCUUUCCCAAAACACUAGCUGGCCCCAACAGAGCAAUAGUUUUCUGACGCUUUAGCCCUUGCCUUAUAAAUUGACAUCCCAUCCUUGACCACUACCAUUCUUGCAUUUCACAAUCAUGUGAAUACCUUACCACAAACCACCUGCCUGCCCACAAACACCUAACAUUUUCACUUGUUGACUGACUUAGCCUCCUCCCUUCUCUAGCCCUUGUGUAUUAUUAGUGGUGUGAAGGGAAAAGUGCGAGUGGAGGGAAAAAAAUGAGUCAAUCCAAGUAAUUAUCUCCCACUUUCAUUCUGUGGCAUGUUUGCCUAAGUGCAGGGGAGUGGCCUUUGGGACCAGUAAGAUUCUCAUGGUCAUGGUGAAAAAGGUAGUGAAGGACAGGGCAGAACUUUGAAUAUACUGUUCAAUAGGUAUCUACUUCCUUCCCUGACUAUGUGCUCAGCCCUUACACUAACUCCUCCUGCCUCAACCUCUCUCCCAUGUAGUCACCUGGAGCAACAUCCCAGGAAUAGGUAAAGAUGGAGGAAGAAGUAGAAACAGGGUCCAUGAAUUUGUCGGAGAGUAAUAAAAGAUCAACCCCAGGAUGGAUAAUUAUUAGCAAUAAAGUGGAUAUACCAGAGAGUGUGAGGAGCAGGAAGUGGGACAGGAAGGUCAGCAUCUGACCUUGAACAUAAAGGGAAAUGAUAUUUAACAAGAAAUAUCAAAAAAAAAAAAAAAAAAAGGAGUUCCCGUUGUAGUUCAGUGGUUAAUAAAUCUGACUAGGAACCAUGAGGUUGCUGGUUGGAUCCCUGCCCUUGCUCAGUGGGUUAGGGAUUGGGUGUUGCCAUGCACUGUGGUGUAGGUUGCAGAUGCGGCUCUGAUUCUGCAUUGCUGUGGCUCUGGCCUAGGUUGGCGUCUACAGCUCCGAUUAGAGCCCUAGCCUGGAGACCUCCAUAUGCCACAAGUGUGGCCCU
ensembl:lncRNA